rnacentral:lncRNA from 1 species
AAAAAGGAUACGAAAGCCAACAUGGAUCGGAUUAAUUGUAAGAUGUUUGGCAGCUGUCUGCCCAGUGGCGAUUGUUACAACACAGAAACCCUAAAAGAUCUGUUGUCAUUAGCUCUGGUAUACAAAGUAUUCUAUACUGCCAGGAUAAGCACACACAUAAAAAAUACCUUUAAGAGAUUUUAAAUGUUCCAAGAAUGUGUUUUGAUUUAUACUCCCUCAAAAUAAAUCAUACACGCUGAAGAGUAAAAGAACAAUGAGAUCCCUCAAACUUUUAACAUUUCUUAAAGUGAAUUAACAUGCUACAAACAGUGCUGUACUGGGUAGUGCACGUUUUUGAGCAGAGUACUGGAGGCUAGAAUUACCAUGUUCCCAGCUUCUAAACUCAACAAUCAAGACCAAUUACCAAAGCCACAGUUUGUACCCUACAGAAAGUAAGAAUCAUUUAGGUAAAACAUCCCCAGAUCCCUUAAGAGGGAGGGUGGAUAUGUGUGUGUGUGUGUAAAUCUGCUCAGUGAGAGAUGUAAAUAAAACCAUAACUUUCCCUCUAUUGUUAAGAGGCUGAACAUACAAAACAGAUCAACUCCAGAGUCAGUGUAAGCCAAGUUGCAGUUUUCUUGAGAAAUAAUGUUAGUUGAAACAGUUUUCAGUAUUUGUUUCAGCUAAGUCAUCAGUCAGCUAAAAUCCUUCAUUAGUCAGCUAAAGCGCAGCAAAUUAAUAAUACGUUCCUUUGUUGAUAACUCCUUUCUCAUUUAAUGGUGCCUCCAUUGGUUGCUGUUACAUUAAAACACUGGCAAAGUAAUAAAGUAUUUCCUUGCUUACUCUUUUAUCACUCUGGUUAGGCUAUGGCUUAAAAAGAAUAAACAUACUUUUGGUAAACUAAAAGAAUGCUAAAUAAAUGAUUAACUUGAGAAUAUAAGAAAAACAUCAUAAGUAGCUAAUUAAUUUGCAGAUAAUGGGAGAUAACAUGUAACUGAUGCUUCUCCAGUUGGCCUCUAUUUCCUGGCUAUGGAUCUAAAUAAUGUCAAAAUGUCACACUCCAUCAUUUGCCACUUUACUGAGAAGUGGGGGAGUAAACAGAGAUACAACUCAGAAGCAUUGUGAUUCAAGUACGGAGGAGGCAUGAAGCCAAGGAGACUACAGAUGAAUGUACUUGGAAUCCAGCCUGGGCCAUGACCAGACUUGUACCCAUUAGGGUACAGACUCAUCUUGGGAAACAGAAUCUACUCCUAAUCAUCCAGAAUGCCCUUGAAGUAGGUGGGCAGGCUCUAUGCUGCAGGUGGUGAAGUGGCCCUGACAUACCUUAUUCUUCCAGAGGCCCUUGAGGACUUCUAAGCCCUCUCACAUCAUCCAUCUAUUCCCAUUGAACCGAACCUUGCUUCAUAGUCACACUAAUCGCCAAAAGAGUUUCUGGCUAAGUGAGACCAAAGUACUCAUAACAACAAGCAUCUGUCAUCUACCAUAAUACUCUCUACUAUGGAUUUUAAUUGGUAGCAAUGAUUUCAAAACUUGACUGCUGUUGAGUUUUAGAUGAAUCAUCUUACCCAGCCCCUGCCCAUGCCUCCAACUGCAUCUUGAGCUACUCUCCAUUUGCUGAGGGCAUUUGCUCAGGACACUCCAGCUCCACUAGCCUUUUCCAGCUCCUCCAGCACUACGCUGACCUCCUUCCAACUCAUCCAACACAUCAAACUACUUCCUGCCUCAGAGCCUUCCCUCUGCUUGGACAUCUUUUUCUCCAUUUCUUGCUUGACCAACUUGUUUCUACUCAACUUCCAGAUUCCUGUUUUAAGGUUGGUUUUAAGAGCAGCCUUCUGAGAUCCUCCCAAGGUCAAGGGUUAGUCACCUGGUAAGAAGCUGCCAAUUGCAAAUAAGAGUGUGCACUUGCUGGAUGUCUUCUGUUUGCUCUCUUGACCCACCUUCUACCAUUCCCCACCUUCUUCUUUGCCUCCGGAAGGGAGCUUUCUGGACUGCACCAACAAGCUACUUUGUCCUCUGGCUUGUCCUCGGAUUCAGUCAGUGGGAGGUACCCACAAGGUGACUUAGAAGGCAGAAGAGGAAUGAGGUAAGGCACUUGGUCAUGUAAACAGAUCAUUGUCGUUUUCAAUGUGAAGUUACUUGGCUGCCUUGGAAAAAAGGUAAGACAAUGAAUAUUCUUGAUAAAGUAAUACAUGUUUAUUGCUAAAUAUAUGAAGAUUUCUGAUAGAUACUGAAAAUCUCCAAAGCAACACAAAACAGUAAGUUAUUAGGAUCUUCCCAAAUCUUGCUCUGUGCAUUAAAAAGGAAACUGGUGAAAACUUGAGGCAAUACAA